UACAGAGGUGGCAAGCGUUGUUCGGAAUUACUGGGCGUAAAGGGCGCGUAGGCGGUCCGAUAAGUCCCGUGUGAAAUCCCUCGGCUCAACUGAGGAACCGCACGGGAAACUGCCGGGCUUGAGUUCGGGAGAGGGAAGCGGAAUUCCGGGUGUAGCGGUGAAAUGCGUAGAUAUCUGGAGGAACACCGGUGGCGAAGGCGGCAUCCUGGACCGGCAUUGACGCUGAGGCGCGAAAGCUAGGGGAGCAAACGGG
rnacentral:rRNA from 1 species